GAACGCUGGCGGCGUGCCUAAUACAUGCAAGUCGAGCGAACAGAUAAGGAGCUUGCUCCUUUGACGUUAGCGGCGGACGGGUGAGUAACACGUGGGUAACCUACCUAUAAGACUGGAAUAACUCCGGGAAACCGGGGCUAAUGCCGGAUAACAUUUAGAACCGCAUGGUUCUAAAGUGAAAGAUGGUUUUGCUAUCACUUAUAGAUGGACCCGCGCCGUAUUAGCUAGUUGGUAAGGUAACGGCUUACCAAGGCAACGAUACGUAGCCGACCUGAGAGGGUGAUCGGCCACACUGGAACUGAGACACGGUCCAGACUCCUACGGGAGGCAGCAGUAGGGAAUCUUCCGCAAUGGGCGAAAGCCUGACGGAGCAACGCCGCGUGAGUGAUGAAGGUCUUCGGAUCGUAAAACUCUGUUAUUAGGGAAGAACAAAUGUGUAAGUAACUGUGCACGUCUUGACGGUACCUAAUCAGAAAGCCACGGCUAACUACGUG
rnacentral:rRNA from 1 species